rnacentral:piRNA from 1 species
UAGAAGAGCAUUGGUGACCUUCGAGA